rnacentral:rRNA from 1 species
AGUGAACGCUGGCGGUAGGCCUAACACAUGCAAGUCGAACGGCAGCACAGUAAGAGCUUGCUCUUACGGGUGGCGAGUGGCGGACGGGUGAGGAAUACAUCGGAAUCUACUUUUUCGUGGGGGAUAACGUAGGGAAACUUACGCUAAUACCGCAUACGCUCUACGGGUGAAAGCAGGGGAUCUUCGGACCUUGCGCGAUUGAAUGAGCCGAUGUCGGAUUAGCUAGUUGGCGGGGUAAAGGCCCACCAAGGCGACGAUCCGUAGCUGGUCUGAGAGGAUGAUCGGCCACACUGGAACUGAGACACGGUCCAGACUCCUACGGGAGGCAGCAGUGGGGAAUAUUGGGCAAUGGGCGCAAGCCUGACCCAGCCAUACCGCGUGGGUGAAGAAGGCCUUCGGGUUGUAAAGCCCUUUUGUUGGGAAAGAAAAGCAGCAGGUUAAUACCCCGCUGUUCUGACGGUACCCAAAGAAUAAGCACCGGCUAACUACGUG